rnacentral:rRNA from 1 species
AGCGAACGCUGGCGGCAGGCUUAACACAUGCAAGUCGAGCGGGCACUUUCGGGUGUCAGCGGCAGACGGGUGAGUAACGCGUGGGAACGUGCCCUCUGGUUCGGAAUAACUCAGGGAAACUUGAGCUAAUACCGGAUACGCCCUUUUGGGGAAAGGCUUGCUGCCGGAGGAUCGGCCCGCGUCUGAUUAGCUAGUUGGUGAGGUAACGGCUCACCAAGGCGACGAUCAGUAGCUGGUCUGAGAGGAUGAUCAGCCACACUGGGACUGAGACACGGCCCAGACUCCUACGGGAGGCAGCAGUGGGGAAUAUUGGACAAUGGGCGCAAGCCUGAUCCAGCCAUGCCGCGUGAGUGAUCAAGGCCUUAGGGUUGUAAAGCUCUUUUAUCCGGGACGAUAAUGACGGUACCGGAGGAAUAAGCCCCGGCUAACUUCGUG